rnacentral:ncRNA from 2 species
AUAUAGAGGUUGGGGAGCCAAAUACGGCUGAGAGGAUAUGAGAUAUCGACCCAUGAACCUGAUCUGGGUAAUGCCAGCGUAGGGAGUGAACGGGAUACGUGU